UACGUAGGGUGCAAGCGUUAAUCGGAAUUACUGGGCGUAAAGCGUGCGCAGGCGGCUUUGCAAGACAGAUGUGAAAUCCCCGGGCUUAACCUGGGAACUGCAUUUGUGACUGCAUGGCUGGAGUGCGGCAGAGGGGGAUGGAAUUCCGCGUGUAGCAGUGAAAUGCGUAGAUAUGCGGAGGAACACCGACGACGAAGGCAAUCCCCUGGGCCUGCACUGACGCUCAUGCACGAAAGCGUGGGGAGCAAACAGG
rnacentral:rRNA from 1 species